GAACAAUAAUUUGGUCAGGUGACUUUGUGAAUGACUACUGACUGUUUGCCUCAAAUUGUCUAACCUGACUUCAAUUGGCAUUGCAAAAUCUAACCAGAGGUAAUUGCAUAUGAAAUAGAAUGAAAAUCUUUGUACCUUAUGCUUUCUAUUUAAGCUGUUGUGUUUUUAUAUCCCUGAUAGUUGUGGGAUCUUUUACUGGUUAACCGGUGCAUUUGUUGAUUUAUAUUAGACUUCACCUGUUCACCAAUGAUAUUCAGGAAUCAUAUUUAUAAGUCCGCUUUUUUCCAGGUAAUAACUCUCAGCUUUCUCCAGCUCAUUGGAAAUUCCAUGCUCCAAGUACAUAAAUGUAUAGCUCUUCAGGAACUGUAACUUCUAGUUUGUCCUUUCACUAC
rnacentral:lncRNA from 1 species